UACGAAGGGGGCUAGCGUUGCUCGGAAUCACUGGGCGUAAAGGGUGCGUAGGUGGGUAAGUAAGUCAGUGGUGAAAUCUCCGGGCUUAACCCGGAAACUGCCAUUGAUACUAUUUGUCUUGAAUAUUGUGGAGGUAAGCGGAAUAUGUCAUGUAGCGGUGAAAUGCUUAGAUAUGACAUAGAACACCAAUUGCGAAGGCAGCUUACUACACAGUUAUUGACGCUGAGGCACGAAAGCGUGGGGAGUCAAACAGGAAUUGA
rnacentral:rRNA from 1 species